rnacentral:rRNA from 1 species
GGGACUGCCGGCGCAAGCCGGAGGAAGGAGGGGAUGACGUCAAGUCAUCAUGGCCCUUAUGCCCGGGGCUGCACACGUCCUACAAUGGGCGGUACAGCGGGUUGCGAAGCCGCGAGGCGGAGCUAAUCCCUGAAAACCGCCCCCAGUUCGGAUCGGAGGCUGCAACUCGCCUCCGUGAAGCUGGAAUCGCUAGUAAUCGCGGAUAAGUACGCCGCGGUGAAUACGUUCCCGGCCCUUGUACACACCGCCCGUCACGCCAUGGGAGCCGGGGACAUCCGAAGUCACCCUUACCAACCCUUACGGGAGGGGGGUGCCGAGGAUGGACCCGGUGACUGGGGCGAAGUCGUAACAAGGUAGCCGUACGGGAACGUGCGGCUGGAUUACCUCCUUUU